AGCAAAGUGUGAUCGUAGAAUCAAGGCGAAGAAAGAAGAAUGAUCUAGGGACUCCCUGGUUGCUUUUAUGGUUUUGUUAUGCAAUUGUUAGGAUUGUUACUUCUAGAAUUUAGAAGCAUGUUAGGAUGAUUAUGCUAUUUCUGGAUAAUUGAUGGUUUAAAGAUAUUAUUUAUUGGAUUGUUUUCUUUAUUUGUUCUUCCGCUG
rnacentral:lncRNA from 1 species